CACGUAGGGGGCAAGCGUUGUCCGGAUUUAUUGGGCGUAAAGAGCUCGUAGGUGGUUCGGUAAGUCAGGUGUGAAACCUCCAGGCUCAACCUGGAGACGCCACUUGAUACUGCUGUGACUGGAGUCCGGUAGGGGAGCGUGGAAUUCCUGGUGUAGCGGUGAAAUGCGCAGAUAUCAGGAGGAACACCAGCGGCGAAGGCGGCGCUCUGGGCCGGUACUGACGCUGAGGAGCGAAAGCGUGGGGAGCAAACAGG
rnacentral:rRNA from 1 species